rnacentral:rRNA from 1 species
AUUGAACGCUGGCGGCAGGCUUAACACAUGCAAGUCGAGCGGAGAUGAGGUGCUUGCACCUUAUCUUAGCGGCGGACGGGUGAGUAAUGCUUAGGAAUCUGCCUAUUAGUGGGGGACAACAUUCCGAAAGGAAUGCUAAUACCGCAUACGCCCUACGGGGGAAAGCAGGGGAUCUUCGGACCUUGCGCUAAUAGAUGAGCCUAAGUCGGAUUAGCUAGUUGGUGGGGUAAAGGCCUACCAAGGCGACGAUCUGUAGCGGGUCUGAGAGGAUGGUCCGCCACACUGGGACUGCGACACGGCCCAGACUCCUACGGGAGGCAGCAGUGGGGAAUAUUGGACAAUGGGCGGAAGCCUGAUCCAGCCAUGCCGCGUGUGUGAAGAAGGCCUUUUGGUUGUAAAGCACUUUAAGCGAGGAGGAGGCUACCUGGAUUAAUACUCUAGGAUAGUGGACGUUACUCGCAGAAUAAGCACCGACUAACUCUGUGCCAGCCGCCGCCGUAAUAC